UACAGAGGGUGCAAGCGUUGUUCGGAAUUAUUGGGCGUAAAGGGCUCGUAGGCGGUUCGUCGCGUCGGGAGUGAAAACCCAGGGCUUAACUCUGGGCUUGCUUUCGAUACGGGCAGACUAGAGGUAUGCAGGGGAGAACGGAAUUCCUGGUGUAGCGGUGAAAUGCGCAGAUAUCGGGAGGAACACCGGUGGCGAAGGCGGUCUCUGG
rnacentral:rRNA from 1 species